UUGGAGGGCAAGUCUGGUGCCAGCAGCCGCGGUAAUUCCAGCUCCAAUAGCGUAUAUUAAAGUUGUUGCAGUUAAAAAGCUCGUAGUUGAACUUCGGGGUUCACCCAUUGGUCAGGCUUAAUUGUCUGUACUGGUGAGAUGAGUCUCUACCUUCUGAGGAACUUUCAUGCCAUUUGUUUGGUGUGAUGGGAAAUCAGGACUGUUACUUUGAAAAAAUUAGAGUGUUUAAAGCAGGCUAACGUCUGAAUACAUUAGCAUGGAAUAAUGAAAUAGGACGGAUUGAUUCUAUUUCGUUGGUUUCUAGGGUCACCGUAAUGAUUAAUAGGGAUAGUUGGGGGCAUUAGUAUUCAAUUGUCAGAGGUGAAAUUCUUGGAUUUAUUGAAGACUAACUACUGCGAAAGCAUUUGCCAAGGAUGUUUUCAUUAAUCAAGAACGAAAGUUAGGGGAUCGAAGACGAUCAGAUACCGUCGUAGUCUUAACCAUAAACUAUGCCGACUAGGGAUCGGACGCAGUUAAUUUUAUAAUGACGCGUUCGGCMCCUUACGGGAAACCAAAG
rnacentral:rRNA from 1 species